rnacentral:lncRNA from 1 species
AGCGCCUGCUCACUGGACCCACUUAAAGGACACCCAGAUCACCAGGUUUCACAGAACUGGGGGGAAUGAGGAUACCGGAGGACAGUGAAGGAAUCAACAGCAGGAACAAGAACCAAAAAUGAACAAAGGACGAAACAAGGGAAAAUCUGAGGACUACUACACUUAAGGAAAAGCAUCAGCAUUUCCCUAAAGCACACACAAAGAGGGGAUGUGAACACACAGAGAGAGGACAGCCACCUACAAGCCAAGGGAAAAGGCUUCAGAAUAAAACAUACCUUUGCCAUCACCUUGAUCUCGAAAUCCUAGCCUUCAGAACUGUGAGAGAUAAAUUUCUGUUGUUUAAAGCCUCCAGUCUGUAGCACUGUAUUAUCAAAACCUGAUAAAGAACUUUAAACGUCAACUUGUUAGUUGAGCAUGGAGCCACAGGCCUUUAAUCCCAGCACUUGGGAGGCGAGAUGGAGGACUGCAAGUUCAAGACCAACCCGAGCAACUUUAGUACUUAUGACUUUGUCUCAAUAAAAAAAAAAAACGGUCUGAGGGUAUAGCUCAUUGCAAAGGUCCUGAGUUCAAUCCCCAGUACUACAAAAAAUUAAAUAAGCAAAUAAAUACCAGUUUAUUGAAUGUCCUAAACUACAGAGAGAAAAACUGAACCCUAGAAAAGGAAAGUCAUUUGCCUAGGUCCAGCUGGCU